UUGUUUAACACUCAAAUAGCAUAUAACUGGUAUAAAUGUAUCAUAUGAAAGUUUUAAAUUCUCUAUUAAGAAAUACUGUACCUGUUCAAAUGGAAACAUGGCCCCUUUCUGCUGCCUGGAACUUGACAUUUUUGUAGUUUAGUGACACACUGUCUACACUGAGGUGUGAGAACAGUGGGCCAGACCCAAAGACUGAUUUAGUCCAGGGGAGUCACAAUGGAAAAAAACUCCAGUUGAUUUCAGUAGGAGCAGGACUGAAGUAUUGAUUUUUACACCUUAUCUUUGGAUCUCUUUGUGUCUAAUCUGGAGGUAUAGCAUAAAUUUGCAUAUUGGCAGGUGAGCAUAAGGGACUGUAAAAUGGCAUAACUAAUUUACCAGUAGAAGUUGUAAAUUAAAGUGGAGGUGGUCUGCAUUAACUUAGACCCACUUGUUAGCUGCUUUUCCUGUUGCAGUUGACUAUUCUGGUCUCUUAACAUGUACAUUACACCAACUUAAACUCCCUUAGCCUUGGAGUGUUGAGUUCAGAGGCAAAGUGUUAGUUACACUUUGGUAAAUGGCAGUGAUUCUCAGUUAGCCACUGAAGAGGCUGGAAUCAGGUGUAAAUUACACCAACUUAAAUUUCCUUAGAUUCACUUCUGAAAUUGGCCCCACAUCUCUCAAUCUAAAUAUGAAGUCCAUGAAUCAACACUUAAGUCCAAGCUUUGUCCUACUUAUACUCUUGCAACCCCAUUGAAAUCAUUUGGUUAUAACUGAGGACAGAUUUGGCCAUCAGGUUUAAAUUUGAUCGUAGAAUGUAUGAUUGUGUGACUCCCACUGAUUGCAAAUGGGGACUAAACAUAUGGAGACAAGGUUCAGAAAUUUGGCCUGUGGCCAGCAUAUCUUCAAGUCUUUGCUUUUCCAAGAUGGCCAGUGUAUGUCUAAAACGUUUUCCUUUUAAACUUCUAGAGCCAGUUCUUUCAAGAAGAGAUUUUGCCCUUUGUGCUGUGGUGCUUUUUCAAACACAACAGAAGAAACGGAUGGAAAAUGAAGAGAAUUAGCAGCUGAGUUGAUGAGAAAGCAAGCAGGUGUCCCUGAGCAACCUGUCUGUGCUGGGGAAUAACACAAUGAAGGCAGGGAACUGUGCAGCCUGGAGAUACUCCAGGAAGAAGGGAGAGAGACCAGUGUCUGCACCCAAGAGAGGUGAUGGCCAGAGGAGCCGGAAGCCUGAGAGUCACCUUUAAGAAAGGUGGACAGUCUCAAUCUUGUAUCAGAACUGAAUUUUUCUGAUAAGCUUCAUUCCAUUUUGUAUUAGACUAGAGUAUGUGGGAAUGGUAUCAGUAUAACAAUACAUGGAUGGAACCUAAAAAGGUAAAUAUUAUACUGUUUGUGAUGUGUGAACGGAAUAUCCAUUUAUAGCUUGUCUCAUUGUUGGACCAAAUCUCCUGAAAGGAACUGCAUUUAUUCUUCACUAAUAAUAUAAAGCAGAGCAAAUUGUCUACUUGAUAACAACAUUUUUAAGGACUUUUUCUUUGAUCUUAAGUGUCUGGCACAGAUACAGCCAUGUGGCUAACUUUUCACUUUUAUACAGAGAUAAAGUAAAAGUUUGAGUCAAGGCCCUUAACUAACCUUGUGUUUCAAUGUCAUACAUCAGCCUGUUACUCAAAUACUAUUACCACAGCUUUGUUAUUGCAGUAAAUGGCUGGGGUCAUUUCUGAAGUAUCUGUUACAUAUAUGGAAUGAAAUCCUCACUCACACCAGAGUCAAUGUCAUUGGCUUUAAUGAGGCCAGCAUUUCUCCCAUAGGAUACUGAAUCAAUAUUCCAUUUCUACUGAAUUUUCAGAAAUACAAAAUGUAUCAGUGGACAUGGUAAAAUAAAGAGAUUGAGUAUA